rnacentral:rRNA from 1 species
AGAACGAACGCUGGCGGCAGGCUUAACACAUGCAAGUCGAGCGCCCAGCAAUGGGAGCGGCGGACGGGUGCGUAACACGUGGGAACAUGCCUUUCGGUACGGAACAACUGCGGGAAACUGCAGCUAAUGCCGUAUACGCCCUUACGGGGAAAGAUUUAUCGCCGAAAGAUUGGCCCGCGUCUGAUUAGCUAGUUGGUGAGGUAACGGCUCACCAAGGCUUCGAUCAGUAGCUGGUUUGAGAGAACGACCAGCCACACUGGGACUGAGACACGGCCCAGACUCCUACGGGAGGCAGCAGUGGGGAAUCUGGACAAUGGGCGAAAGCCUGAUCCAGCCAUGCCGCGUGAGUGAUGAAGGCCUUGGGUUGUAAAACUCUUUACCUGGGAAGAUAAUGACUGUACCAGGAGAAUAAGCCCGGCUAACUCGCGCCAGCAGCCGC